CGGGGUGCAGCAGGCGCGAAAACUCUACAAUGCAGGCAACUGCGAUAGGGGAACAUCGAGUGGCACCCACCAUGGGUGUCUGUCCAGCCGUCUAAAAAACGGCUGUUAGCAAGGGCCGGGCAAGACCGGUGCCAGCCGCCGCGGUAAUACCGGCGGCUCGAGUGGUGGCCGAUAUUAUUGAGUCUAAAGGGUCCGUAGCCGGCUUUGCAAGUCCCCUGGGAAAUCCAGCGGCUUAACCGUUGGGCUUUCAUGGGAUACUACAUUGCUUGGGACUGGGAGAGGUAGGAGGUACUCAGGGGGUAGGGGUGAAAUCCUGUAAUCCUCUGGGGACCACCGGUGGCGAAGGCGUCCUACCAGAACAGGUCCGACGGUGAGGGACGAAAGCUAGGGGCACGAACCGGAUUAGAUACCCGGGUAGUCCUAGCCGUAAACGAUGCUCGCUAGGUGUCACGGCAGUCGUGAAUUGUCGUGGUGCCGUAGGGAAGCCGUGAAGCGAGCCACUUGGGAAGUACGACCGCAAGGUUGAAACUUAAAGGAAUUGGCGGGGGAGCAC
rnacentral:rRNA from 1 species